AUUGUGUGUGUUCAGCGGUAAGGGAUGACGUAAGUAAAAUAACUCGUACCACCCUGGGCCGGGCCAUGCCUUGCCUCGAGACCAGGCCUGUUGACUUUACGUAUAAUUAUACCUCUCAGCUUUUGGAGUGAUAAUUAUUGUGCGUGUACAGUGUAACCUCGCGGACCCAUGGAGACCCUGGUAUAUUAUAACCUCUGGCUUGCGAGACUAUGUACAGUGUAUGUUAUAAUUUUGGCGGGUAAUUAUUUUUCAAGGGUGGACUCUAUAAUGCAUUAGAUCCCACUUGUGUGUGUUUAGCAGGGAAUUAUGAGCCAUAAUCUCAUAGUUUCCCAGGGAAUUAUAAGCUUGAGGGUAUAAGUACAAGUAUAAUUUUUUGAAUGUACAAAAAUGAUAAUAAAGCUGUAUAGCUGCAUGAUAAUUAGCUAUGGCUGUUCAGUUUUUUCACUACCAGUUUCUAUAGGGUUUGCUGGGUUGAUGGUAGAGUUCACCAGUAUCUUUUCUUGUCGAGGAACACUAAGAGCUUAACAGUUCUGGGUCCAUUGUCAGAAGCAUGAAAGCAUGUCUUCAACUUGUAGCAUUUGUCAACUUCGUCCUUCUGACUUCUGUUUCUAUCCUGCAGCCAUGUUUCAAAUUGCAGUAGACUCCUGUGUCUUUUUGGGAACGAUAGUGCACUGUAGCAUUGUGCUGCAAGCUGUUCCUUGCUAGCUAGCCGUACAUAUCAGAACAGUUUACUGAGAAGCUUGAGCUGGGGUGGGGCUUGAGUGCAGAUAAAGAGGAGGCUGGGCUCAUUUGUUGCAGAGCGCUUCCUGCACAAGGUGGAGUCACUUGUUUGUCCAUUCCAAUGUUGAAGCAAGGCCAAUGCAAAGGUUUUUUUUAGCAGAAAUCAUCUAGACUAGCUUGUCAGAACAGGACAUUUUCAAAAAUAAAGCUGUUGCUAAGGCUUGCUGCUUUUAUAGAUACACUUCUUGCCUGAGGCAGCCAAUGAAAAGUGGGAUCUAAAUCAGUUAGCACAUGUGCAUUCGGUAUCUAUGGUUAUAGUGUCCCUCAUCCCUCGGGCAAAGCCCUCGUGAUAUGGGACACUAUAACACAUAGAUACCUCAUACCCAUGUACUAUCUAUAACUUAGAUCCCACUUGUGUGUGUUUAGCAGGGAAUUAUGAGCUAAGCUUGAGGGUAUAAAGUACAAGUAUAUAUAAUUUUUGAAUGUACAGAAAUGAUAAUAAAGCUGUAGCUGCAUGAUAAUUAGCUAUGGCUGUUCAGUUUUUUCACUACCAGUUUCUAUAGCGUUUGCUGGGUUGAUGGUAGGGUUCACCAGUAUCUUUUCUUGUCUCUACGAGGAACACUAAGAGCCAAUGAUUUUAACAGUUCUGGGUCCAUUGUCACAAGCAUGAAAGCAUGUCUUCAACUUGUAGCAUUUGUCAACUUCGUCCUCCUGACUUCUGUUUCUAGCCUGCAGCCAUGUUUCAAAUUGUUUACUUCAGUAGACUCCUGUGUCUUUUUGGGAACGAUAGUGCACUGUAGCAUUGCUGCAAGCUGUUCCUUGCUAGCUAGCCGUACAGAUCAGAACAGUUUACUGAGAAGCUUGCUGGGGUGGGGCUUGAGUGCAGAGAAAGAGGGGGCUGGGCUCAUUAAUUUUGUUGAAGAGCGCUUCCUGCACAAGGUGGAGUCACUAGUUUGUCCAUUCCAAUGUUGAAGCAAGGCCAAUGCAAAGGUUUUUUUUAGCAGAAAUCAUCUAGACCAGCUUGUCAGAACAGGACAUUUUCAAAAAUAAAGCUGUUGCUAAGGCUUGCUGCUUUUAUAGAUACACUUCUUGCCUGAGGCAGCCAAUGAAAAGUGGGAUCUAAAUCAGUUAGCACAUGUGCAUUCGGUAUCUAUGGUUAUAGUGUCCCUCAUCCCUCGGGCAAAGCCCUCGUGAUAUGGGACACUAUAACACAUAGAUACCUCAUGCCCAUGUACUAUCUAUAACUGAACAGGCAAUUUUUGCGGUUGAUAUUUUCGCGGGUUGGUGCAAUUUGUGAAUUGCACAUUGACAAAACAUAAUUAUUAGCACUCGAAGAUAAUUAUACCCACCAUAAUUAUACAUGUACCAUAUAGGUAGAUAUGCAUGUGUGCAUGUGUGUGUGUGUGUGUGUGUCCACAAAGUUCCUUACAUCAAGAUAAAUUCCUUACAAAUGGCAGACUGUGAGUUGAGUGUGCAUUGUUUGCAUGCGGUUAUAUGGGUUGCAUGGUAUAUGUGCAUGCGCCCUUUAUGUAGAGAUAAAUUCAUUACACAUGCAGCGUCUGUUGUGUAUACAUGCAUGUAUAUACAUGUCCUUAAAGUUCCUUACAUGAGUAUAAAUCCCUUACAAAUAUGUGUGCCGAUCACACAUACAUGCAUGCAUGCAUGUGGGUGUGCAUGUGCAUGUACAUAAUUAUAUAUAUAUAUAUAUAUAUAUAUAUAUAUAUAAAAAUUAUGUCCCUGACAGUUCCUUACAUAAGGAGAAAUUGCUUACAAAUAUUAUUAUAGUUGCAAUUUCGUUGUAUAUGCAUGCAUGCAUGCAUGUGUAUGUCCUGAAAGUUCCUUACAAUAAGGAGAAAUUCCUUACAAGUAUUGUGUAUCACAUGUGCAUGCAUGUAUGCAUGGGUGUGCAUCACAUGUGUAUAUGCCUGAAAGUUUCUUACAUAAGGAGAAAUUCCUUACAAAUAAAUUAUGGUGUCCAAUUUUAUUGUAUAUCACAUGUGGGUGCAUGUGCAUCACAUGUGUGUAUGCCUCAAAGUUCCUUACAUAAGGAGAAAUUCCUUACAAAUAAAUGAUGGUGUCCAAUUUAUUGUAUAUCACAUGUGGGUGCAUGUGCAUCACAUGUGUAUGCCUGAAAGUUCCUUACAUAAGGAGAAAUUCCUUACAAAUAAAUUAUGGUGUCCAAUUUAUUGUAUAUAUCACAUGUGGGUGCAUGUGCAUCACAUGCAUGUGUGUAUGCCUGAAAGUUCCUUACAUAAGGAGAAAUUCCUUACAAAGAAAUUAUGGUGUCCAAUUUAUUGUAUAUAUCACAUGUGGGUGCAUGUGCAUCACAUGUGUGUAUGCCUGAAAGUUCCUUACAUAAGGAGAAAUUCCUUACAAAUAAAUGAUGGUGUCCAAUUUAUUGUAUAUCACAUGUGGGUGCAUGUGCAUCACAUGUGUGUAUGCCUGAAAGUUCCUUACAUAAGGAGAAAUUCCUUACAAAUAAAUGAUGGUGUCCAAUUUAUUGUAUAUCACAUGUGGGUGCAUGUGCAUCAUGUGUAUGCCUGAAAGUUCCUUACAUAAGGAGAAAUUCCUUACAAAUAAAUUAUGGUGUCCAAUUUUAUUCAUUGUGUAUCACACAUGGGUGUGCAUCACAUGUGUGUAUGCCUGAAAGUUCCUUACGUAAGAAGAAAUUCCUUACAAAUAAAAUAUUAGUGUCCGCAUUGUGUAUAAUUAUACAUGCAUGCAUGUGCAUGGGUGCAUGUGCAUGCAUCACAUGUGUGUAUAUGUUCUGAAAGUUCCUUACAUAAACAGAAAUUCCUUACAAUGGUUUAAUUGGAUGCAGGAGCGCAAAGAAAAUAUUAUACAGCUGUUCAACUGACUGACAUGCAUGCACUAAGAAGAUAAUUUUACUGGUACUUAUAUGUUAUGUGCAUGCACAUAACGUAUAAGUACCAGUAAAAUAAUUAUAUAUACACAUGCAUGCAUGUGUAUAUAUAAUUAUGCAUGCAUGUAUAAAUUAUACUAACCCUAACCCUCACCCUAUAUACAUGUUAUUUAUUGAUACACGACGAUAUAAUUAUAUUUUAUACUAUUAUUAGCACUACAUGUAUAUAAUAAUACACUGACUUUGCUAUAUUCAUUAUACGAUCAAUCGAUAAUCGCAUGAAUAGAGAAUAUAUAAUAUGAUGUGAUUAAAUGAUUUACUGCCAGAAAAAAGAGUUGAAAAAUCAACAUAAUGCAUGCACAUGCGCAUGCUAAAACGCAAAACAGAUUAUAUAUAUAGUCAGUCGUAUUUCGAAUUAUUAAGUUUCAUUAGUCAAUGCUUGAAAGAACAUUUCCAUUUCCUUUUGAGUACGUAUACCCUUUUAUACAUUUCUUAUGAAACCACCUUGGACAGAAGUCACACCCCACCCACUUGGCUUCUUGACCAUCUAUAAAUGGUUCUUUACAUACAUGGCACCUCGACUCGUCAAUCUUAGUGCGUUUUCUUUUUGACUUGUGCUGGUGAUCAUCCUCCAAGGCUGUAAUUGUUAAACACCCUUGAAGUUUGUUUGCAGCUUGUACCAAGGGAUCUGUAGGUGGUCGUACACGCUUCCUUCUUGCUGACCGUUUUGCUCUGGUUUGCUUCACAAUGAGUUUGGACUGGGUGUCAGAAUCUAGAGUAUCCUCUACCCGGAGAGGAUUCGUUUGAAUUCUAUCAGAGCCAGCAAAAUUUAAUUGAAGUUUAUGACACCGUUUUCUUCACUCGGCCUCUCCUAGAAUUUCAGUGCUACCUUGCGAACCAUGCAUGCACUCAUGGGUUUCCUUCCAGGGUUUUAGUGAAACAUACAAUGACACUCAUUCUCUCAACAAGGACCAAGCCAUGACAGAAAAGAUUGCAGCAGAUGCAUUCUACAAUGGAGAGAUUGAGAAUGAAAUUAGGUUUCUUGUACUAGCAACCAAUCCUACUUUUUCCCUAAGUCAUUUCACCUUCAAACGAGACAGUGACAGAGAGGAAACAAUGGAAAUGAUUGAAACAAUUCGCUCAUGCAGUAUAUAUACCCUCACUGUGAAACUGACUGCACUGCUGUUUGCAAGAA